UUUUAACGUAAGUAACUGGAUUCAUUAAUUAUAAAGGAAUUGAAGUUUAUAACCCUAGUUUGAAAAUAACUAAGCAACAGCAAGAUAACAAAAAAAUAGCAAAUAAACAAUAAAAUAAACGAAGUGGAAAUAAAGUGGUCCGUUGGCUUUGUUAGGACCUUCAUACUCCCCAGAUUGCAACCCAGUUGAUCAGAGGGGAGCCUCUUCUCACUCUUCCAAAAUUUCACCCUUCUGUUUCCUUUUUCCUCUCAAAAGAUCUAUUGCCAUUCCUCGGAGUGGACCCUUUUGGCCAUUUCUUGAGUCAGUUAGCCUCGUUGGCUGUCCGAUCUUCUCUCCUCCUCCAUUUUUCCCACGGCGAACUCCGGCACUUCCCCUACCAGGUAAGCUUGCUCCCUUAAUUUUAAUCCUCCCAUCGCUAAAACAUGCGCUUGGUCGUUCCUCUCCCUUGUGUGGGAGAACAAACGGGUUGGAAAUCAUCUUUUAACGAUUUUACAUUUUCAAUGAAAGCACUUAUAUAUAAUAGGCUAUAUUUUGUUUUCUUUAAUUUUUGCAGUUAUAUUUUGAAAUUGUAUAAUUUGCCAUUCAAUUAUUAGUGUGAUUGAAUUUUACCACUAAACUUUAAUUUUUUUUAAAAGAAUUUCCAUAAACUUUGAUUUUUAGUUAAAAAUUUAGCACUUAAUAUUAAUUUUGAUGAAAAAAAAUUGAACUUUAACUACUAAUCAAAAGUUACUUAAAGUUCAUACUUUUAUGUAUUAUAGAUAGAUAAGUCAUAAAUAUUUAAUUUAAUCAAGUUACAUAUUCAACUUUAACUACUAAUAAAUUAAGCCAUUUAUACUAACAUUGUAACACUCUCGACUCGAUUUGAUUGGUUGGAUCCAGAUCUUAGGUAUUAUCAAGUUAAUACAAAUAAAAACUCAAUCUACUUUUACAAAUUACGAUCACUUACGUCUUACUUAAUCACAAAAUUUCUAAUUUGAAUAGAUAAACAUGUACAAGUAAAUAUAAUUACAUCACGUGGUAAUUAAAAUACAACAAUAUUUAAUUUGAAACUCUAAUACAAUACAGAUGCCCCAAAUAGGGACUUCUAAGUAAUAAUUCAGUCUUGGAAUACAUCGCCAAUCUUGCUCUGUAUACACAAUAACCUGAUAUUUCACUUUUAGGGAUAGUCCUAACAUCGUCCCUCUUGACGUAGACUUACGUCAUCUCACUUAUAACAUAAUACAUACAGAUAAGUUUAUAAGAAUUUAGUAAGGAAAAUAUAAUUUACAUGAGUCAUAUUUGCACAUUGCAAUUGAUAGUUUAGAUAGAUGAUACCAUCGUCCUUAAACAUUCAACUUUGUCUCUGAUGAAUACUUCCUCAAGUUUUGUUUCCAUAUUCACAUCAGAUAUCAUACCUUACUUUGAAAUCACUUCUUCUUAUCGAAGUAUUCAAUACAUCAUUUACUUCUUUCAAUCAAAACAAUCAUAAAUCUUUAUCCAUUUUCUUUUCAGAGAUCAAUACAAUCAGUAACAACAUUACGCUUGCAAACUUACUUCUGAGCCAUCAAAUCAUCACAAUUCAAAAGAAUGUGUGCACAGACGAUAGAUACCUCCUUCAAACAUACAAAUUUUACAGUCUUAUUUUUAGACGAGUCAUAGCCUUAUAUAACUCGUUUUUACUGUACUAACCAUAUAGACAUAAAACCUUUCUAAUCUUACUGAUUUCACUUAAGAGUCAUGUUGAAUGCGCCUAAUCGAUUUAUUAUAGAACCUGCCACAAGAACAUUCUUUCCGAUAUGUCACCAAGGACUUUAUUUUGACGUAUCAUAUGGACAUUUCUUUCAGAGUUCGUCAUGAAUGAUACUUUUUCAUAUUGCGCUACGAAGGCGCUCCUUUAGGGUUUGCCAUAAGGGUAUUUUCUUCCUAAUGUGUUUGUGAUAUGAAUUUGCCUAGACUCACAUUUCGUGAGAUUUGCUUGUCAUUAUCCUAAGACAUGCAGAAAAAAUCCAUUAGGCUAUAGCCAUGACCAUGGACUUUCCAUUCAGGGUUCUUAUUUAAAGUCCCGGCGAACCCUUUUGAACAUCACCGCGAUGAACAGACAUAAACUCUUCAUGCCCUUAUACAAUUUAAACCUAACCUUUUAUUCCACCAACAUAUAACCACAUACAUUCCCGACUCAUAAUACAAAUUCUAGGCAUACAUAUAACCAUACCUCAGCAUUACAUUAUUUAAUCACCAUUCAUCAUAUGCUUGAACUUAUCAUAUUCCAUACCAAUUAUACAUGCCAUCCUCAAUGAACAAUCAUACAUUCAUAGAUCUCAUUUAGUAAUUACUCAUAUAGUUACAUACAUAUCAUAUCGUACCUUUCGUGAUCUCGGCUUCAUAUUUCAUUUAGUAUGCCACAGAUCUAUUUGCAUGAAUAGUACAUAUGCAAAAGUCAGCAAAGAGGCUCACCUGACAAUCUCACAUAGCAGCUUAAAUUCUAGAUCCAACAAGAGAUUACAAUAACCACUACUUAUAAAACAAAAGAACACCAUUAAAACUCGUUUUAACCUCUACCGUCAUCUUAAACCUAGAUAACCCACAUAUAAAGCCUUACUUCUUUAUUUAACUAUUCAUGCACUUAUUCAAACUUAAUCUUUCAUAACUUUAACAUGUAGAGUUACAAUAUUUACCUUGACAUGUAGUAGUCACUAACAAAAAUCUAGAUUUACAACUCCAAUUUAUAGGAGAAAAAAAUACUUUCUGGUUUCUCCAGUAUCAGAUAACAAUACUUUAGAAGAAAGAAGGAAAAUUUUUUCUUUCUCUACCCUUAAUAUCGACAUAUUUAACCUAAGUCCUUAUUGGAACUUGACAUGUGUCACAACUCGUAAGAUUGUUUUUAUAAAUGGCUUACAGUUGUAGAGAGAACCUAAAUAAAAAUCCAAUAAAUUAUAUAUUUGGUUCUUCGGUUCUAUCCAUUUCUAUCCAAAUGGUUUUUAACGUAACUGGCACAGUAACUCAAUGAACUUGGCAUAUAAUACCUUCGACAAUAACUCCAACUUACAAAAUUCUCAAUACUCUUACCAAACUCCCUUUCCUUACAGCACAACACAUUCUAAGUUCGAUCCGUAUAUAAUAUUCCAAUAUCUGCUAUGCACUCAAAUUGUACACCAAAACAAUAAUUGGGCAGAUAGGCUACGCCUCACAAAUUACUCUCAGUCUACUCGCCAGAACUUAAAACCCAUCAAAACUAGGUGUUACAAACGCCGUCGAGUUAUUUUAAUGGAAAAAUUGAGUUAUCACUUCUAUUUAGCAAUUUUUUUCAAAUAAGCAAAUAAUAUAUAUUGUUAUUUUAAAUAAAUUUGUCUAAGCUUUUUUCCAAACAUAAAUUACUAGAGAAAUAAAAUUUAGUUUUGCAAUUCUGUAAGAAUGAAACCUUAAUCAAUUGAAUCAAUUUUUUUGAAUUUUUUUCUCAUUCUUCAUCAUUCAUUUUCAACCAUUAAAGAUUUGCAAUUGUUCCUUUAAACUUUCAUAAUCGAUCAUGGAGGUUUUUAUUCCUUGAUAUAGAGGUAGGGAUCAACAUUGAAAAGUCCUCGAGUUGCAGAUUUGACGUAGGGCUUUAGACUAAAUUGAAGGGAAUUGGCAUGUAAGCAACCUAAAACACAUAAGAAAUGUAACAACUCGAUAGGCAGGGGUGUUGAAAAGUGUAUAUCCGGGACUCUGUUCAUGUAAACCAGACUCGAAGUUAAUUAUUUAGUUAAUUAAAUUUUGGAUAGAUAAUUUACAUGAAUUAGGAGCUAUUAUGGUUUAAGGACUAAAUUGCGUAAAAGUAAAAAAUUCAAUUAUAAAUUGAAAUAAACUAAAGGGGCUAAAGUAAUAAUUAUGUAAUUUAAUAAAUGGUUGUGUAUAGGUGCCCGGUCAAGGGUUAAGUGUAAUGUGCUUUUAUAUAUUAUAUAUAUGUUAUAUAUUAAGUUAGAAUAAUAAUAGUAAUAAAUAAAAUGAAAACAAAAUUAAAAGAAAAAAGUGAAGUAGAAUGAGAGAGCACAUGCAAAUUAAAAGAAAAGAAAAGAAAGAACCAAAAGAGGCCGACGAUACUAAGGGCUUCAAACUUUCAAAUUUUAAUUGGUUAGUCAAUUUAGCCCCAUUUUCUUAUAAUUUUCAUAUUUUUGGAAUCACAGUACCUAGGUUCUAAUUUUUAGUAUUGUUUAAGAUUUUAGAUGUUGCUAUUGUUGAAUAGUUUAAGUAUUAGGAAUUAAAUAGAUAGAUUUUUAAGCUAGAAGUGGAAAAUGACUAAAUUGUGAAAUUAAUAGUUGAUUUUGAGUAAUAGGGACUAAAUUGAGAAAAUUUUGAAAUUGAAGGGUUGAAUUAGAAAAUGAGCUAAAUUUAGUUUAAAGUGAAAUUAGUAUAAAAAUAUAAAGUUAAAUGUGAAGGUUAAAAAUUAGUCUCGAUUUAGGGACUAAAUUGAAGUUUAAGCAAAUAAAGUGUAAAAUUUUAAUUUUAAUGUAAAAUUAAAUUAUGUAAUAUUAAUAUAUUUUAAUUGUUUUAUUCCGUAGCUAACGUCGUACCGGAAUCCUUGAGUAAAAAGGAGAAGGAUAAAAUUGACGUCGAAUAGCUCAGAAUUUACGGUUUGUGUGUUCUAUAAUCCUAAUUAAAUAACAGAUUGUUGUAUAAUUAAUUGUUUGCAUAUGGUAAGCAUUUGUGGUGGGUACUUUGGUACUUUUGGAUUAAAUUGAAUUCAUAGUAAAUUUGAAAGGGAUUCAUUUUGUGUAUUAUGAAAUAUGUUGAUUAUAUGAAUAUUGAAUUGACUAUAUGUGAUAGUGUAUAUAUGUGAAACUGAGACAUUAGUUGUAUUGAAAAGUGAAAUAAAACUCUAUUAACUGUAUCGGGCUGAGUUGGAUAUAGAUGGCAUGCCAUAGGAUAGGAAGAGUUCAAGGAUUUCUCUUAAGUCGAUGAGGCACUGGGUGCCAAUUUACUUUGGUUUAACUGAUGAGACAUUGGAUGUCAAUUUAUAUAGCACUGGGUACAGUUAUUAUUUUGGAAUUAACUAGACACUAGGUGCCAAAUUGGUGUGUUGGUUGGAUCUGUGUAUCUAUCCGAGUCUGAGUCAUGUUAAUAGGGAAAAUUAAAUAAUAAAUUUAUAUGUUUGAUAUUGAGAUGACCAUGUUGAGAAAUGAAUAUGAGAUGAGAAAAAGAAAUAUGAAAUAAUGAAAUGUGAUGUGAAUCUUGAAAUGAAUUCAAGUAUCAAAAUGAUUAAUCAUGCCAUUGAAUGAGUUGGACUACUAAAUGCUAUAUAUAUGAAAUAUCACUGAUAUGUGCUUGAACAUAUGAAAUAUUAUUACCAUGUGCUAAAUUUUGUGAACUCUAUUGAAUGUGAAUAAAGAAUGAGUAAGUUGGCAUUAUUGAUUUGAUACAUAUGUUUUAUAACAUUACUUAUUGCAUUUUUAUAUCUUAUCUAUCCAUAUCAAGUUUAAAUUAUUCGGAUUAUAGAAAUACCACUAAGUUAUACUCAGUGUGCGGUUUUGUUUUCUGUACGCAAGCUAGGUACUUUUCAACAUAUCGCAGACUCAGCAUCAAACAAUAAAUCCCGAGCUCAAGUGUGGUUAUAUCUUAUUUUGAAAUGGCAUGUACCGAGGAAGUCUUUGGUUGAUAGUUGGUUUGUCAAUGUCAUGUUAUUUUGUUUUAAGGUGAAUUGAUGGUUACUUAUAUAAUUGUGGUUUAAGCUAUGUUUUUGUAUGUAGUCUAAUUAAUGUGUUGGUAUGUGUUGUAGUUUAAAACUUGGUAGCCUAAGUAGUUAAAGGUUAGUUCAAUAUUAGUUAAUUUGAUAUGAAUGAAAGUCUUUGAAUGGUUGAUGUGUUUGAUGAUAUAAAAUGUAGCACCAAUGAGGGUACAUUGGCUAGACACUUAAGGUGGUUUAUUUGGUUUGUUUUAAGCAUGCUUAAUCGUGUUUUGAACAAGUUAAAUGACUGUUAAUUAAGUUUCUUAGUGUCUAAGUAAGUAGGAAAUGGUAAACUUGAGUUUUAAGGUACUUAUAGGUGCAUAUGGCCUAAACACGGUCUGUCACACGAUCGUGUUGAAAAAUAGUAUAGGUGUAGUUUCCACACGGGCUGACAC
rnacentral:lncRNA from 1 species